GAUCUCCCUCUCCCGAUCUCAUCUUCUCAGUCACCACAGGUUCGGGCUUCUCAUCUGCUGAUAAAGCACUUGGGCUCUCAAAGGAAACUGUCUUAGAAGGAUCCAGAAGGCCAAAUCAUCAAGAAUACCAGCAGGGACAAUGCCUUGGCCCAGCUCAAAACCCUCAGGGAAGUGAUCAUCACCGACAAGGUUAGAUUCGAGGACCUUGCUUCCCGCUACUCCGAUUGCAGCUUAGCUAAGCGCUACGGUGAUCUUGGGACAAUCAUGUGGAGAGGCUUAUAGGAAAACAGAUUGAAAAGGAGUAGGUGGAGUUCAGUAUUGGAAAUUCAUAAUGAUCUGUCCUGCUUGGAACAAAUCAAUAUCACAAGUACAAGCUGAAAAAGUAACCUAGUUGAAUCCUUGGAGGAGCUUGCACCUGCUUGCACAUUAGAUGUGAAUUUUCCUCCAUGGUAAUAACACCCUGAAACAACAACUUGUUUCAUCAUUACAAAUGAA